GAUGAACGCUGGCGGCGUGCCUAAUACAUGCAAGUCGAGCGAACAGACGAGGAGCUUGCUCCUCUGACGUUAGCGGCGGACGGGUGAGUAACACGUGUAUAACCUACCUAUAAUACUGGGAUAACUUCGGGAAACCGGAGCUAAUACCGGAUAAUAUAUUGAACCGCAGGGUUCAAUAGUGAAAGACGGUUUUGCUGUCACUUAUAGAUGGAUCCGCGCCGGAUUAGCUAGUUGGUAAGCUAACGGCUUACCAAGGCGACGAUGCGUAGCCGACCUGAGAGGGUGAUCGGCCACACUGGAACUGAGACACGGUCCAGACUCCUACGGGAGGCAGCAGUAGGGAAUCUUCCGCAAUGGGCGAAAGCCUGACGGAGCAACGCCGCGUGAGUGAUGAAGGUCUUCGGAUCGUAAAACUCUGUUAUUAGGGAAGAACAAAUGUGUAAGUAACUAUGCACGUCUUGACGGUACCUAAUCAGAAAGCCACGGCUAACUACGUG
rnacentral:rRNA from 1 species